GUGUGACUGCGUACCUUUUGUAUAAUGGGUCAGCGACUUAUAUUCUGUAGCAAGGUUAACCGAAUAGGGGAGCCGAAGGGAAACCGAGUCUUAACUGGGCGUUAAGUUGCAGGGUAUAGACCCGAAACCCGGUGAUCUAGCCAUGGGCAGGUUGAAGGUUGGGUAACACUAACUGGAGGACCGAACCGACUAAUGUUGAAAAAUUAGCGGAUGACUUGUGGCUGGGGGUGAAAGGCCAAUCAAACCGGGAGAUAGCUGGUUCUCCCCGAAAGCUAUUUAGGUAGCGCCUCGUGAAUUCAUCUCCGGGGGUAGAGCACUGUUUCGGCAAGGGGGUCAUCCCGACUUACCAACCCGAUGCAAACUGCGAAUACCGGAGAAUGUUAUCACGGGAGACACACGGCGGGUGCUAACGUCCGUCGUGAAGAGGGAAACAACCCAGACCGCCAGCUAAGGUCCCAAAGUCAUGGUUAAGUGGGAAACGAUGUGGGAAGGCCCAGACAGCCAGGAUGUUGGCUUAGAAGCAGCCAUCAUUUAAAGAAAGCGUAAUAGCUCACUGGUCGAGUCGGCCUGCGCGGAAGAUGUAACGGGGCUAAACCAUGCACCGAAGCUGCGGCAGCGACACUGUGUGUUGUUGGGUAGGGGAGCGUUCUGUAAGCCUGUGAAGGUGUGCUGUGAGGCAUGCUGGAGGUAUCAGAAGUGCGAAUGCUGACAUAAGUAACGAUAAAGCGGGUGAAAAGCCCGCUCGCCGGAAGACCAAGGGUUCCUGUCCAACGUUAAUCGGGGCAGGGUGAGUCGACCCCUAAGGCGAGGCCGAAAGGCGUAGUCGAUGGGAAACAGGUUAAUAUUCCUGUACUUGGUGUUACUGCGAAGGGGGGACGGAGAAGGCUAUGUUGGCCGGGCGACGGUUGUCCCGGUUUAAGCGUGUAGGCUGGUUUUCCAGGCAAAUCCGGAAAAUCAAGGCUGAGGCGUGAUGACGAGGCACUACGGUGCUGAAGCAACAAAUGCCCUGCUUCCAGGAAAAGCCUCUAAGCAUCAGGUAACAUCAAAUCGUACCCCAAACCGACACAGGUGGUCAGGUAGAGAAUACCAAGGCGCUUGAGAGAACUCGGGUGAAGGAACUAGGCAAAAUGGUGCCGUAACUUCGGGAGAAGGCACGCUGAUAUGUAGGUGAAGUCCCUCGCGGAUGGAGCUGAAAUCAGUCGAAGAUACCAGCUGGCUGCAACUGUUUAUUAAAAACACAGCACUGUGCAAACACGAAAGUGGACGUAUACGGUGUGACGCCUGCCCGGUGCCGGAAGGUUAAUUGAUGGGGUCAGCGCAAGCGAAGCUCUUGAUCGAAGCCCCGGUAAACGGCGGCCGUAACUAUAACGGUCCUAAGGUAGCGAAAUUCCUUGUCGGGUAAGUUCCGACCUGCACGAAUGGCGUAAUGAUGGCCAGGCUGUCUCCACCCGAGACUCAGUGAAAUUGAACUCGCUGUGAAGAUGCAGUGUACCCGCGGCAAGACGGAAAGACCCCGUGAACCUUUACUAUAGCUUGACACUGAACAUUGAGCCUUGAUGUGUAGGAUAGGUGGGAGGCUUUGAAGUGUGGACGCCAGUCUGCAUGGAGCCGACCUUGAAAUACCACCCUUUAAUGUUUGAUGUUCUAACGUGGACCCGUGAUCCGGGUUGCGGACAGUGUCUGGUGGGUAGUUUGACUGGGGCGGUCUCCUCCUAAAGAGUAACGGAGGAGCACGAAGGUUGGCUAAUCCUGGUCGGACAUCAGGAGGUUAGUGCAAUGGCAUAAGCCAGCUUGACUGCGAGCGUGACGGCGCGAGCAGGUGCGAAAGCAGGUCAUAGUGAUCCGGUGGUUCUGAAUGGAAGGGCCAUCGCUCAACGGAUAAAAGGUACUCCGGGGAUAACAGGCUGAUACCGCCCAAGAGUUCAUAUCGACGGCGGUGUUUGGCACCUCGAUGUCGGCUCAUCACAUCCUGGGGCUGAAGUAGGUCCCAAGGGUAUGGCUGUUCGCCAUUUAAAGUGGUACGCGAGCUGGGUUUAGAACGUCGUGAGACAGUUCGGUCCCUAUCUGCCGUGGGCGCUGGAGAACUGAGGGGGGCUGCUCCUAGUACGAGAGGACCGGAGUGGACGCAUCACUGGUGUUCGGGUUGUCAUGCCAAUGGCACUGCCCGGUAGCUAAAUGCGGAAGAGAUAAGUGCUGAAAGCAUCUAAGCACGAAACUUGCCCCGAGAUGAGUUCUCCCUGACCCUUUAAGGGUCCUGAAGGAACGUUGAAGACGACGACGUUGAUAGGCCGGGUGUGUAAGCGCAGCGAUGCGUUGAGCUAACCGGUACUAAUGAACCGUGAGGCUUAACCUU
rnacentral:rRNA from 1 species